rnacentral:lncRNA from 10 species
GUAUGUGGUGGUCUGUUUUUGUGAAACAAAGUUAACUUUUGCUACUUUGAUGUUUAAACUACUGACAGCAAUCUCCAUAGCAGCGUUCAUUACAAUAGCCAAAAGGCGGUUCAGCUGCUGAAGCCAGAGGGUGUGCUGGUUUAUAGCACGUGCACUAUAACACUGGCCGAAAAUGAAGAACAGGUUGCCUGGGCCCUGACAAAAUUUCCUUGCCUUCAGCUUCAGCCCCAGGAACCGCAGAUUGGAGGAGAAGGAAUGAGGGGAGCUGGGCUCUCAUGUGAACAGUUGAAACAGCUGCAGCGAUUUGAUCCAUCG